AGUGAACGCUGGCGGCGUGCUUAACACAUGCAAGUCGAACGAGAACGGAUUAUAGCUUGCUAUAAUUGUCAGCUAAGUGGCGCACGGGUGAGUAAUGUAUAGGUAAUAUGCCUCUUACUAAGGGAUAACAAAUGGAAACGUUUGCUAAUACCUUAUACUCCUUAUUAACAUAAGUUAAUAAGGGAAAGAUUUAUUGGUAAGAGAUUAGCCUGUAUUGUAUCAGUUAGUUGGUGGGGUAAUGGCUUACCAAAACUAUGACACAUAACUGGUUUGAGAGGAUGAUCAGUCACACUGGAACUGAGACACGGUCCAGACUCCUACGGGAGGCAGCAGUGGGGAAUAUUGCACAAUGGACGGAAGUCUGAUGCAGCAACGCCGCGUGGAGGAUGACACAUUUCGGUGCGUAAACUCCUUUUAUAUGAGAAGAUAAUGACGGUAUUAUAUGAAUAAGCACCGGCUAACUCCGUGCCAGCCGCCGCAGUAA
rnacentral:rRNA from 1 species